UAAGAGACAGCAGCCGCCGCGGUAAUACGUAGGUCCCGAGCGUUGUCCGGAUUUAUUGGGCGUAAAGCGAGCGCAGGCGGUUAGAUAAGUCUGAAGUUAAAGGCUGUGGCUUAACCAUAGUACGCUUUGGAAACUGUUUAACUUGAGUGCAAGAGGGGAGAGUGUAAUUCCAUGUGUAGCGGUGAAAUGCGUAGAUAUAUGGAGGAACACCGGUGGCGAAAGCGGCUCUCUGGCUUGUAACUGACGCUGAGGCUCGAAAGCGUGGGGAGCAAACAGGAUUAGAUACCCGAGUAGUCCCUGUCUCUUAUACA
rnacentral:rRNA from 1 species